CAGAAGCAGGCUAGCUAGCGACUGAUCGAGUGACAACGGCGUGCUCUGCUCUCCCUGUCUCUCUGACGAGUGUUGACAUACAGGGACUUCGGCUUCGAUCCGCUGGGCCUCGCGACCGUGCCGGAGAACUUCGAGCGGUUCAAGGAGUCAGAGGUGUACCACUGCCGCUGGGCCAUGCUUGCCGUCCCCGGGAUCCUGGUGCCGGAAGCUCUGGGCCUGGGCAACUGGGUGAAGGCGCAGGAGUGGGCGGCCGUCCCCGGCGGGCAGGCCACGUACCUGGGCGCCCCGGUGCCGUGGGGCACGCUGCCGACCAUCCUGGUGAUCGAGUUCGUGGCCAUCGCCUUCGCCGAGCACCAGCGCACCAUGGAGAAGGACCCCGAGAAGAAGAAGUACCCCGGCGGCGCCUUCGACCCGCUCGGCUUCUCCAAGGACCCCGCCAAGUUCGAGGAGUACAAGCUCAAGGAGAUCAAGAACGGCCGCCUCGCCAUGCUGGCCUUCGUCGGCUUCUGCGUCCAGCAGUCGGCGUACCCCGGCACCGGCCCGCUGGAGAACCUCGCCUCCCACCUCGCCGACCCGUGGCACAACAACAUCGGCGACAUCAUCAUCCCCAGAUCAAUCUCCCCUUGAGCUCAGCUCAGCUGCUGGUUGCUGUUUCCUGUGUACGACUAGGCCCUGCCUGUACAACGAGCGACGACGGUGACUUCCCGCCCGGAAAUUAAACCCUCGUAAUGUAAAGCUUAUGUUAUUAAGUAGCGGCUACUCUUGUAGUCUUGUCUGUAUCAAAUAUAAACUGGUUUGUUAGCUGAAUCCCAAGGUUAUUUCUGAGCCUAACCAGGGGAAAUUUAGCUCAAAACGGAGAAAAUACAUACGAGACCUUUGAUAACUACAAAGUAUUGUAUUUCAUGAGCUAGACACGAUGUUUUUUUUUAAGAUUCACGAGGGAGAGCCUCUACUGAGAUUUUAUUAGAAAUGACAAAAGAAAAUGUUACAACUUAGCCUAGUUACAAAACGUAAUCCAAAAGAUCUAAUUAUGUAGUUUACAAGCAAUGUAGCAAGUAGAACAACUCUUAUGUCUGCCACGAACUCAGCCAAUUCGGGAUGAAAAUGUAAAAUUCACACGCGCUCUGUUAAUGAUCAACCACAGCUCCUUACAGAAUUCUUGCGUACAGUGAUAAACCGAAGGAUCUUUAUUUGUAAAUAGCCAUUCAUUUCGGCUUUUCCAGAUGCUCCAAGUCAUGAGAAUGAUAAUCUCCAUAGAGAAAAGGACGUUAAGUUGGUGUUUAAGGUUUGCUGAGGCCUCCUCUGGAUUAGAAAUUCUGGGGGUUAUUCCAAUUGAGUUCCAGGAGGCUUUUGCAAAAUUGCAUCUGAGGAACAAAUGAUAAAGCGUCUCCUCCCUUUGCCAUAAACAAUUCUCACAUGAGUAAGAUUCCAGGGUCAUGUUUUUCCUUCUUAGCAUAUCUCUGGUAUUUAGUCUAUUUUUAAGCCACAGCCAAUAGAAAACUCUAUGCUUAGGUUGGUGCUCUUCCAUAAGUGUUUGUAGAUAGGGUGAACCUGCGUCUGGCCCAUAAAGUGCCUGUAAGCUUUUUGCGAAGAGUAGUUGUCAGAGCCCCAAAUGUAUCGCCAACGGUCGUGAACAUUACUGAGGGCAAUUUGCUCCGAGACCACCUGCAACUCCAGAUACUGAUCAUAAGCUUGCUCAGAAAUAGGCAAAUGGAAAAAACCAGCGAACUGAUUCUGCUCUUUAGCUUCUUUGAUAGAUAGCUUUGUGUUUUUGACAAAAGAGAAUAGUUCUGGAAAUUUUUGUCUUGGGAUGUUCUGGCUCCACUGAUCAUCCCAGAACGAAAUUGAUCUACCAUUGCCAAUGACUGGGUGCGCCAGGCCCUUAAAGUUGGGGAGGAGCUUGAUCAUGCUCUUCCACCAGAAAGAACCAAUGUUUCUAUGACCUGGCAGUCCACUGGACAAAUAGUAAUUAUUCUAGAUGAGAUUCACCCAUGGUAAGUCACUGUUAUUGAAGAAUUUAUGCAAAAAUUUGAUCAGAAGAGCCUCGUUUUGAGUUUCAAGGCGAAGCACCCCUAGCCCGCCAUUCACUUUUCUCUGAGUAACCGAAACCCAAGCAAUCAGAGGCGAUUUCUUGGAACUAAGGUCAUUCCCUCUCCACAGACAGUUUCUCCUGAAGAUGUCUAUUUGCUUAAUGAUGGUUUUAGGAAUCUUGAGCGUACACAUAAAGAAGGUUGGCAGAGCUGAAAAGACUGAAUUUACCAACACCAAGCGCCCAACUUGGGAUAAAAAAUUUGAAGAGCAUGACAAUCUCUUUUCAAUCCUUUGGAUAAGAGGCAGAAAGUGCUGCUUUCUGGAUUUCGCAAGGCCCAAAGGCAAUCCAAGAUAGGUGAAUGGCAUUCCUCCAAUCUGGCAGUUGAGAGUUCGAGAGAGGAUCUCCAUCUUCUCUGAAGGCACAUUUAUUGGAUACAUAUUUGAUUUGUUAUAGUUUACCUUUAGGCCAGUAGAAGUCUCAAAUGAGUUGAGAAUUGCCUUAAGGAAGAAAAGUUGCUUUGGACAAGCCUCUAGAAUCAAAAGAGUAUCAUCUGCAUACUGAACAAUCGGGAAAUCCAGGUCACCAAUAGCAGGUAAAGGAAGCUUAAGAAGAUUCAAAAGCCUGGCCUUAUUAAUAAUGCUCUGAAGAAGGUCAGCCGCCAAGACGAACAACAGUGGCGAAAGAGGGUCUCCUUGUCUAAUACCUCGCUUGCAAUGGAAGGAUUUACCAGGGACGCCAUUGAGCAACACCGAAGAAGUGCCAGAAAGAAGGAUGCUCCGAACCCAAUUAACCCACUUAGGACCAAAGCCUUUGUGGAUCAAAACUUGAAGAAUCAGUUCAUGCUCAACAGUGUCAAAAGCCUUUUCGAAGUCUAGUUUAAGCACAAUGAUUUCUUUCUUUGAGGAGUGGCAUAAGUGAAUGUAUUCAUAAGCCCAAGCCAAGCAAUCCUGAAUAGAUCUGCCCUUGAUGAAACCAUAUUGGUUCCUAUGAAUUAAUCGAGACAUGAACGACUGCAGACGAUUUGCCAAAAGCUUCAUUAGGAUUUUCAUACUAUUGUUUAAUAACGAAAUUGGCCUAUAAUCUCCCACCUUCUGCGUAUUCUCCUUCUUCGGGAUCAAAACAAUGAAGGACCCAUUAAUACUUCUUAGGCAAACUUCACCAUGAUAGAAUUUUUCACAAAGAUCAUAGAAGUCUUGAGCAAUGAUAUGCCAACACUUCUUAAUGAAGUUGGUAUUGAAACCAUCAGGACCAGGAGAUUUAUCCGAAGGUAAUGAUUUUAUAAUGCUGUCAAUCUCCAUCUUAGUGAACGGGGUGUCUCACUCGUGAAGCUCCUCAUUACGGAUUAAAAGCUCUGGAAGGUCAAAAUCAAUGCCUGAGAAAUCAGACGAUCCCAAUCUGCACUUGAAAGCAUCCCAGAGGAGACCAGAUUUAUGUUCGUGCUCAAAAUGUAUGACCCCAUUCUCGUCAGUCAAAGUGGCAAUUGAAUUUUUCCUGUGUUUAAUGGUGGCAUGAGCAUGGAAGAAACGAGAGCCAAUGUCACCAUCAGUUACCCACUUAAUAGUCGCCCGCUGCUUCCAAUAAAUUUUCUGAAUGUUCAGUAGAUCGGCCACUUUUUGCUGCAGAAUAUCUCUGAAAUUCCAUUCCUCAAUAGAAAGAUCCCGAUGCUCUUCCAUAUUGUCUAUAAGUUCAAUUAGUAGCUUGAUGUUUUGCACCGUUUUAUCAAUUUUUGGCAGCGAUCUCUACCAAUCCUUCAGAACCUUUCGAACACACUUAAACUUGGCAGUCAGGUUUUUAGCCUUGUCAGGAAGGCAAGGGAGCCCAGCCCACGUGGUUUGAAAGAAAUUCAAGAAACCGUCCAAUUCGAGCCAGAAGUUUUCAAACCGAAAAAUUUUAGGUUUAGGGAUCUUGGACUUAAAAGAAACCAGGCAAGGAACAUGGUCAGAGAUGUCUCCCGGCAUCGUUUUGGCACAGAAAUCUGGAUAAACGAUCGACCAUUCUUGAGAGAUGAAAAACCAAUCCAGCCUCUGAAGAAGGGGUUCCCUCUGUCUGUUCGACCAGGUGUAUGCUAAGCCGUGAAGGGGAAUUUCAAUCAAAUCUAAGUUGCUUAUUGCUUCAUUGAACUUCAGCAUUAAGUUAAUAUCACCCCCAGCCUUAUUUCUGUCUUUAGGCCGACGAAUUAAAUUUAAGUCCCCAACAAGGAGCCAAAGCUUGUCAGAAGGCAUAGAAAUAUUAUGCAGCCAAUUGAGGAAAUCGAUUUUCCCUUGUGAAGUACAAGGAGCAUAAACGUUUGUAAUAAUCUAGGAGCAAGCCGAUAAAUUUGAAGUAAAUUCCACCGACUGAGCAUAAUCAUUUUGGAAGAUAACAUUUCCUGAAAGUUUUGAGCUUUUCCAGAUGAUAACUGAACCUCUCGAGUUCCCCACCGAGGGAACAAAAGCAAAUGAAUCAAAUUGAGAAGGACAGAAGUUUUUUAGGUAAAACGAAUCAAAGAGAUCCUUUUUUGUUUCUUGUAGACAGAUAACAUCGCAUCUAGAAUCCCGAAUUGAACAACGAAUGGCGUUCCAUUUAAUAGUAGAAUUAAUUCCUCUAACAUUGUAACUCAGCACAGACCACUCCAAAUAAUUAACAUCAUUUAAGUUACUCAUUGAGUAAACUAGAAGUUUUUGAGCCAGAACGAUACCCAAAACAGUGGGUAAAAUAAGUGUCAGUCGGCAAGCAAAAGAGGAACAUAAAGGUAAAACAAGCACGCACAGGUGCCAGCCAAGUAUCUAGAAGUCCUGGGAAGACCCAACCCAUAAACAUGCACACCCAAAAGUUAGAGGGGCAAAAACCAUAGCCCAGACCACCCGCCUUCCACCUAGUGCUUAUCUUGCUUAUCCUCAUCUGUUGAGCCAUCAGUCCUCUCAUCAUCCGAAUCCUUUCUGCUUGUCCUAUGCUGGCCAACAGAUCCCACAGCAGAUUUCUUCUUCUUCAAACGGCGCUCAGAUAAGUCGUCAUAUGACAAGUUGCAGAACCCGCUCCCCAGAUUCUGAAUCACCUUGGAGGACAGCAAGGGUGGGCCAUCAAAGUUAUGCUGGCACAUGAGACAAUUCCUUUUUGGGCAGGCCCCAUUCCUGAACCCACCAUGUGAUUCCUUCAAGCGCUUACUUCUUCUGAGUUCAGACUCCACAAUGAUAGGUGCCGGGGCAUCACAACUGUCCGAUUCUUUGGAGCUCUCAGAAAGGACAUCAUCUAGAAGUUUAACAUUCGGACAUUCCUUAGGGAUGGCAAAAGGUAAAGAUUUCAGUCCCGGUUCUAGCAGAGUUGAGGGAAUUGCUGAUAACAGAAAGGACUUCUACCAACUGAAGGCUUCAGGUUGAAGCAGCUUCGAAAGAAAAAAGGGUGCCCAGUUCUUUGCGAUAUCCACCGAGGGGUCAGUUGACCCAGCAGGUGCAAAGUACAUGGCCCAAAGUCUGGAGAACUGGGCAGCUCUUUUCCUCUCCUCAAACAUCUGAAACACAGGGUCAGGUUGCCAUCCCUGAUUGACCAUGAAAUUCAUCUCUAAAUUCUGGAAAUGGUUAUUAUUUGGAUCCCCAACUUGGGCCUAAUGCGGCAAAUCAGCAAUACCAGGGACAGGGUCCACUUGAAGCGCCGGGCCAUCAACCUCCUGAGGCCCAUUGAAUGCAGCAAUAUUGACAGCAAGCCCAUCCCCUGGCAAAAUAGGACCAUUCUCAACAACAUGGCCAUUCUGUAGAGGUGCAACUUGACCAGCGCCAAAGGAACUAUCCGACGACAAGCCUGAGUGCUGAUUACUGAGUUGAAGCUCAUCCGGUUGAAUGGGUUGCAAAUCAGGCUGAAAGGGCUGCAGAAUCUGUUGAUUGGGUUGAACAUUUUCGAUCCACUAGUCCCAAUCCCCAUGGGCAUUGUCAUCCUGAAGAGCCGGCAAAUCACCACCCGCAUUCCCCGACGGGAAAUUUAGGUCAAGCCCAACCGGGGGCAUUGGCUGACCCAGACCGAAGAAAACCAAGGGAAGUUGCUGACCAUCUUCCGGGGCAGGAGGAAUAGGGUCCUCAUCCUGAGCCUGCCCGCCAAGCAUGUUUUGCUGAAUAAUCUCACACUGAACAGUCCAAGAAUCACCAACGAAGCCCUCAGCCUCCAAAAAAACAAUGAAUUGAGGAACUUCUUCAAAGGAAGUGACACGGACACGAAGCAAGGUUCUAGAAACAUUACUCCGAUCCUCCUCCCAAAGAAUCAACCUGCAAACGACCCAAUGGCUGCUUGCAAGUACUCCGAGGAACAGUAAUCCAGGGGAAACCCCAGUAGCAUAAGCCAACAAUCAUGGUUGAACAAAAGAGCCCGAUGAUUCCAGGCGUCAUUGUGGCGAACAUCAGUGAAAGUAGCAUCUAAGUAUUGUUGGGGGCCAAGCAGAACCAAAUUGUCUCGCUCCAAAACACUGCGAAACUGCACUAGCACCUGGCCCAAAUGAGAGCGCUGGAUGGCUCUAACCCCAACCCUUCGAUGUUCCACAAGGUACUCUCUGACCACAUCUCUGACCGCAGGGAACAAGACCUCAUGCUCAGGUAAAGGAUGAAUAUUGAUAAUCGCCCAUUCUUCAUGCAUUGGCGGUAAUCUCUGCAAGACUGACCUGACAAUGAUUUCAAGAUGCUGCACCGCCGAAGCGUGGAAGCCUGGCGGGAGGAAAGGCUCCGGGUCGACGCGCCGGUACGCCAUAGCAAGAUUUUCCGAAGAUCGCCGGUGAGCCGAAGGCAAGGUAGCGGUUUGGGGUUUUGGUGAAGUCACACCCAGCGAGAGCUCCAAGGACGCUACGGGCGCCUGUUCGUAUUUUUUAAUAAGACCGCCCUGGCAAACUCCUCGAAGCAGGCAAAUAUGGGAGGGGCCCCAGCCGUCAGAGACCCCGGGGUAGGGCGGAACCAGGAGCCGUAAACCGGGAAAUGAGACGUCCCUUCCAAAAGGCAAUUGCUUUCAAAGGAAGGGAACGAAGCGAGGGGAAAUCCGAAUACUGUUUUCUUAAGAUUGCAAAACAAUUCCAAAUGCCCCUUAACUUUACAAUAGUGGCAGAGAAACACUGAGGGAGCCGCACCAGACGAACCAGCCUUCACAGAGAUGGAAGAGGCCGAAGGGCCAGGCCCAGGCAUGAAAGGCCCAUUGCGCAGAAUGGGCCGCCAAUGAAGCUUACGGAUCCUGAGGAGACCAGCAUUUGAAUUUGAAAAAGGGCGAUCAUCAUGCCCCUGACGACCACGUCUAAUCAAGCUUCCGUUGUGCCUAGGAAAACUCACCGAAGAAGAAAGCCUGAGAGGAGGAUUGCUUAUCGGGGUUCCCGAGGACUUAGCAAAGACUGAAUACUGCGAGCCCCGAGCCCCUGAAGAGGUUCCCAAUCUUUUGAAGACAGAUAGCCUUGGCUCCUCCAAAUUACCAGGGAAGCGAGGAGACAACCUACGUCGACGAAUUGGAACAGCGUUCGCACCAGUCAACGGCGGAAUCCUAACAAUAUUAGCAAACGAUUUUUUUCUUGCCCUUAACAAACCACCAGUUGGCAUUUUCCUCCUGAAGAAAUAAUCUGUAUUCGUAGAUCCAAUUUCGUCCACCAAAGUUCCACAAGUUGAAGAAAGCCUUGAAUUCCGGAUGAACAAUGCAUUUAGAAUUAUAAAUGUGAAAACCAACAGCCUUGGAGGAAACUGUGAAGCGGAACACCCGAUCAGCAAGCUGAGAAACAUUGAAUCCCCUGGCAAAACCACCCAGAGCAGCUUGAAGAAGAUGACUAACUGAAACCGAGUCAAGCUUGAAGAUGCAGCGGCCAAACGAGACCACCAGCCAAAAGGCCGACGGACAAUCUGGACUUCUAGAACACACAGGGGAGGCAAACCGGCGCCUGACAUCAUCUUCGAAUAGCAAACCCGGUCGAAAGUCCAGCCUUGACAAAUCCAUCACGCAAGAUGAAGAAGACCAAGAAGAGGGGAAUGGAAAAGCACAGACGCGAGGUGAUACAAACUCGAGAGACAACCAAAGACGAAGAGGAUGCAGCUAGCAGACAAGAGCCCACCGUCAGGAUCCUCCACGGAACAAGCACACGACCGACCCCAAUGAAGCCAUCAGCGAAGCAGGAGCCUGUACCCUGGGCGGUUAGGCCGUUCCUAGCUAGACACGAUGUUGUUGGCGAGAAUAAUAAUUUCAUCAUGAUGGAUGAUUUCGUCCAAGAUGUGGUUGAUGUCCAGGGUGAAAAUGAUGGGGAGCUUAGUGAGGAGACCUUGGAGGUCCUCGAGGAUGCAUAGUUCUUUGAUGAAUUCAUUAACCACCUCAAUAAUGAUGACCUUCUAUUUGGGAGCCCAUGGUGGAUAGAGAGCCUCAAAGAAUUGAAACAUGUGACAAUGGGUCUGCUCUAUAAGGAUUGUCCAAAGGAAUGGAGGAUGUUGUAUUUUGAUCUCCAAAUGUGGAUGUUGAAGGGUCUUUUUGGAUGGUCCUACACUAGCUUCAAUGAGUUGCUAAGUAAUCUUGGUUCUGUGCUUCUAAAGGACAAUAAAGUGCUCGCCAACAUUUAUCGAGCGAAGGAGCUAAUAUGGCUAGUGUCACAAAGUCUUCAAAAGAUCCGCUCUUGUCCUAACCAUUGUAGAAUAUACGGGGCACCCAAUAUAUGAGCUUAGGGAGCUAUCCACACCAUGACACGAGUCAAUACAAGAGGAAUGUUUGGUCUCGCGUGGAUGCGAACGACGAGAGAGCCUUGAGUGAGAAAAAGAAGGUGACCAAGAAGAGUAGUGUGAAUUGUUGGACCGGAUCGACGGCGAACAGCGCAAAGAACUCAGUGUAGCGCAGUGCCGCCGGAGCGCGAUCACCACGUCUCAACGGAAGAGAGGACACAGUUGUAUUUUCUGUUGCUGCAACUGUGCAACCUUGCAAAUGCAUUCAACUGGGAAUUAAAACACCCGGAUCCGUCUUCCCCGCUGCACUCAACUGCUGCGAGACGUGCCGUAAUUUCAGCAACGUCCGCGACAUGCACGGCGAGCUAAGUCGCAGCGAAAAAACGCCCUUUGAAGCGGUCACGGCGAGGACUGAGUGCACCCAUCAGUCCGCCCAUGAUUCUACGCUGAAUUACAAAAAUGCACGCGCAAUCUAAAACAAACUAAUGCACCUACUAACAAUAUCCCUGACAAGAUUACAGUGAGGCUACUGCAACAUUUACCCCCCAUAAUCUUGUUAAUCUGCAAUUCGAAUUAUUCCAAGCUGUCUCCUCAACUCUGUGAACCGAAUUCUUCCCAGAGGCUUCGUCAAGAUAUCUGCUAGCUGAUCAUCUGAACUUACAUGUUCAAUAUCAAGAACACCACUGCUCACACACUCCCUAAUGUAAUGAUACCGGGUGUCGAAUAUGUUUACUUCUCUCAUGGUACACAGGAUUUUUGCUCAGUUCUUGUGCCGACCGGUUGUCUAUCAAAAGCUUCAAACUCUUCUGCUCAGUACCCAGUAGGUCUGCAAGAAGCCGGUUUAACCAAACACCUUGAUAGGCUGCUAUUGCAGCUGCUAUAUAUUCAGACUCACACGAUGAAAGUGAUACUACCUUUUGUUUCUGAGAAGUCCAGGUGAUUAUGUUCGUACCCAGAAAGAAAACUACACCACUAGUACUCUUUCUCUUUACAAGAUCUCCAGCAUGAUCACUAUAUCUGAGUAUCCGAAAAGUUCUGACGCCACCCCUCUUAGGUAUCUACACCCGAGAUGCUUUGUGCCUGAUAUAUAGCGGAUAAUUCUCUUGACAGCAGCCCAAUGUUCUGCAUUUAGUGACUCCAUCAAUCUACUAACCAUUCCCACCGCUACUUUUUGUUCUCGUAGCAGACCUAUUACAGUGCAUCAUUAACAAGGCUCAUCAACUUGGCCUCCUUCAGCUCCCCUUGCCACCCAAAGAUGGGGCUGGAUUUCCGAUUAUACAAUAUGCCGAUGAUACAAUUAUUGUCAUGAAAGCCUCACAAAGGGAGCUUUUCUGCUUAAAAGCUUUGCUCGAGAGUUACGCCCUAUCAACAGGGCUAAUAAUCAACUACGUAAAAUCCUGUUUAGUUCCUAUCAACACUGACAGUAAAAAAACUAAACUUCUUGCUGGUCUCUUUGGUUGCAAGAUUGAAUCUCUUCCCUUUACAUAUUUGGGGCUACCGAUGGGGACAACAAAGCCAAGGGUUGAGCACUAUGGACCCAUUAUGAGCAAGAUUGAAAGGAAGGUAACCUCCAUCUCUUCUAUGUUGUCACAUGCAGGGAGACUUCAACUUGUCAACUCUGUCCUCUCGUCUCUACCAACAUACGCCAUGUGCACCUUACAAGUUCCAGCUGCGGUCUUGGAGUACAUUGACACAGCCAGACGACACUGUUUGUGGCGUAAUUCUGAUAGCAAUGCAAAAUCUAAGCCUCUGGUGGCUUGGAAUAAAUGCACACGACCAAAGAAAAAAGGUGGUCUGGGGGUCAUCAACCUAAGAAGCCAGAACUCGUAUCUCCGAAUGAAAUUUCUUCACAAGCUCUACAACAGGAAACAAAUCCCUUGGGUUAACCUGGUUUGGAAUACCUACUACUCUAACGGCAAGACCCCUCAUGCAUCCAAGUUCAUGGGCUCAUUUUGGUGGAGAGACGCCCUUAAACUUUGUGAUCUCUUCAGAGGAAUCUCCAACUGUAAGGUUGGAGAUGGUAAAACUGUUCUAUUUUGGCAUGAUUUAUGGAAUGACAACAUCUGCAGAAACAAAUUUCCAAGGCUUUUCACCUUCGCAAAAAAUCAAAGCAUUUCGGUUGCUUCCUUUUUGACUUAGGAGAACUUGACAGACAAUUUCCACUUACCCCUUACUGAGCAAGCAAACACCGAGCUGCAACAGCUCCUGGAUGAAGUGCAACAAAUUCGAGAAUCAGUGAUUGAACCAGAAGAGAAAGACUCUUGGAGUUAUAUUUGGGGGAAUAACACCUACUCGUCAACUAAACUUUACCACUACACUUUCAAAAAUGUGAAUCCUCCAAAACCAUUUCUCUGGAUCUGGGAGUCCAGAUGUUCAAACAAGCUUAAAGUCUUCGCCUGGCUACUGUUGAUGGACAUGCUGAACACCAUAAACAUCCUAAAGAGAAAGAACUUUAAGGUGCAAGGCGACAACUACAGGUGUGCUCUUUGUCAACUUCAAAGAGAAGAAACUGCCUUCCAUUUGUUUUUCAAUUGCCCUUUCAGCAAAGACUAUUGGAGACAUCUGAAUAUUCAGUGGAACCACCAUAUUGACUUCUUUGCGACCUUUCAACAAGCCAGGGACUUGCACGGUUCACCAUUCUUUAUGGAGGUCUUUAUCAUAGCAGCUUGGCGAAUCUGGAAGCAAAGAAACAGUUUUAUCUUUGACAGGGGACGACCAUCUUUCAUUGGCUGGAAAAAAGAAUUCCGCGCCGAAGCUCUUCUGCAAGCUAAUCGCUUUUCUGAAGAGAAAUCAACUCUUUUCUCCUCGCUUGUGAAUUCCUAUAGAUAGGAGAUAGUUUUUUUUCCUGUGCUUUAGUUAGUUUCCUUCUAGUUUAUGUCUUGGGAGCGACUGCUAAUGCUCUUUAUCCGUCUUCUUCUUUAUAUUAAUAUAUAUCUACCACAACAGGGGCUUCCCUUGCUGUACAUUUUCAAAAAAAAAGUAGGACAGGUCAGGUCUGGUAUUUACCAAAUACCUCAAGCUAACAACAAUACUCCUAUAUCUAGUUGCGUCCAAACUGUGUUUAGGUUUACCUGGUGUCAGUUUCAGAUGUUGCUCCAUUAGAGUGUCAACUGGAUUACAACAUGUCAUACCACAGGCUUCAAUUAUUUUCUCUGCAUAGGCACUCUGGCCAAUGGUUACUUCACCUGGAUUUUGUUUUACUUCAAUGCUGAGAUAGUAACUCAGUAGACCCAGGUCACUCAUACUAAAGGUAGCCAUCAUCUGCUGUUUGAAAACAGCUAUGCACUCUCUGUCAGGGCCACAUAUAAUAAGGUCAUCCACAUACAGCCCAACUAGUAGCAAACUCAUUUCCACCCCUCUUCUGUAAACUGCAUGCUCUUUAAGGCUCCUUUGAAGCCCAGUUGACCAUUUCAAGAUCAAGUCUGGCAUUCCAAGCUCUAGGAGCCUACUUCAGUCCAUAUAGAGCCUUUUUUAGUCUUAGAACCUUUCUUUUUGAAUUUGAAUCAGAAAAACCUGGUGGUUGGUUUACAUAUACUUCUUCCUUGAGAUCCCCAUUCAGAAAGGCUGACUUUACAUCCAUGUGGUGUACUUCACAUUCACCUUGAGCUGCAAGAGUCAAUAGAAUCCUUACUGUUUCUAGCCUUGCCACAGGUGCAAAAACUUCCUCAUAAUCCACUCCAUGAAUCUGAGAAUAACCCUUUGCAACUAAUCUGGCCUUACGUUUUACCACUUCACCGGCUGGGUUCCUUUUCACCUUGAAGACCCACUUCAGCCCAAUAGCCUUGUGGUCUUUUGGAAGAUCAGCAAUUUCCCAGGUAUUGUUCUUCACUAUUGACAUCAUCUCCUCUUCCAUGGCUUGCCUCCAGCAAGCUUGUUCAAGAGCCUAAUCAACACUAGCGGGCUCAUCUGCAGCCAGCAUACAAACCCCACUAUAUUCAAAAUCCAGAUCUUGGUAUGUUGAGUCAUACAGAUCGUUCAAGCUUAUGUACCUGUAGACCCCUUGACUCGAGAAGCUUGAAUCAUGGGAAGGUGGAGUUACUGAUCCCUGGUUAUGUGUGGAGCCGGGAGCUGAAAUGGGAGUGGAAUUUGGUGUUUAUGGCUGACCCAUCUCACUUCCCUGUUCAACUGAGUUCACUCCCCCUAAGUUUUGAUCAGAAGAAAUUUCAGUUUCAACAAUUUCUUCUAUUGUCGUCUCUCUGUCAGUUUUAUCAUAAUGAACCUCAAACAUGUCUGGAUCUUGACUGUUUUUUUUGAAAGGAAGGGGCAAAAGACUUGCCGCUCCGAUAUAUAUUAGAUUAGAGAAGAAAGAACGGGAGAAUACAAAACCAAAGCAACUGGAGGGAAGAAGAAAAGAAAGAAAAAAUAAAAGGAAUUAAAAAGAGUUUAAAAAGAAAACAAAGAACCACUAGUCAAGUCCAACAAGACCUCAGCUACUAGCAAUAUCCUUCACUGCAAGAGCCACUGGUUCUACGCUUCUAUGCUGACUUUGAAAAAUUAUGUUAUUUCUUUCCAACCAUAAAUUCCACCAAAAAUGAAUUAGCAGACCGUCGAAACAUCUUCUUGACUGUCUGUUGCAAAGGCUACGCAGACCCGUCCACCAAUCAUACAAAGAUGUGGAACUGGGAAUCCCAGACAGGAAAGGAAGGUUGGCCCAAGACAACACUUUGCUCCACACCUCUCUACUAAAGGGGCAAUCCUUGCAUAAGCGGAGAAUUGUUUCUGGGGCCGAGUUGCAGAGACAACAUAUUGGGUUGCAAGGCCAACCCCUUUUAUGAAGGUUAUCAGCAGUUAGGAUUCUCUUAUGUAGUAGUGUCCAAGCAAAAAAGCGGCACUUCGGUUCCACAUUAGCCUUCCAAAUGGGACAGAGAUUCAUUUUACUGUAAUUGGAUGAGAAUUGGAUUUUGUAUGCACUGCUUGCACUGUACUGCCCAUCUGUCGUCCAUCUCUAAGAAAUGGUGUCCUCCAAACCAUUAAGCUUCUGCAUGUUACCUAUGGCCUGCCAUAGAGAGACGAACUCUCUUAGCUCCCCCUCACCCGUGUAUGGGGAGCAUAAUCGUAUCCAAUUGUUGUUAGUGAGCGCUUUGUCAACCGUGAUGUUCUUCCUCUUUGCCUUCUUGAAUAGAGAUGGUGCAAUGUUCUUAGGGGCUUGGCCUUGGAUCCAGCUAGAUUUCUAGAAUUCAGCUAUCUUUCCAUUGCCAACCGUCACAGUUGUGGAAGCAUUGAAGAGAUCUUCAUCAGUUUUGUCACAAGGAAGCUUCAUGGCAGUCCACGCCCUGUCUUUGCUCUUCCAUCGCAGCCAUAGCCAUCUUAGUCUUAACCCCCUCGCAAAACGAUCAAGAUCCAGAAUUCCAAGACCCCCCUUGUUCUUUGGGAGGCAAGUGAUGGGCCAGUUGAUAAGGCAGUGACCCCCGUUGCAAGCAUCUGGAUUGCUCCCUUUGCACAGUAAGUUUCUUCUCAUUUUGUCAAUUGCUUGCAACAGCCAUUUUUGAGGUGGGAAAACCGUUAGGUGGUAGGUUGUUUGUGCGGAUAGCACCGAUUUUACUAGAGUUUCCCUACCAGCCUUGGACAUCAGUUUGCCUUUCCAGCCAGCCAACCUGUUAUUAAUUUUUUCGAUUAGUGGUUGGAGAUCAAUCCUUUUUACAUUCCGGUAAUGAAGGGGUAACCCAAGGUACUUCCCGGGUAGGCUAGUGUAUUUUCCAGGAAACACAUCCAUUAGCGUUGGCCAUAAUGAUGCUGGAUAUCGAAAUGGGAAAAUUUCUGUUUUGUCAUAGUUGAUCUUUAGCCCUGAACACCCCUUGAACGCGUUGAGAAUCCCUUUCAGCACCUCCAAGUCUAAUUUGUCAGCUCUAACAAACACGCCCGCAUCAUCCGCGUAGAGAGAGCACCGAAGCUUAGCCCCUCUAGGCAGCACCUGUUCAAGCAGUCCAUCUUCAGUGGCCUUCUCAAUCAUCCGAUGUAGCGGGUCCAUCGCUAAAAUGAAAAGGAAGGGAGACAGAGGGUCCCCUUGUUGCACCCCCACGCCUGUGUUUGAUUGCAUUUGAAUGUUGCCCAUUUAUAAUUAUUCUUGAGGAGGAUGAUCCCAUGAUUUCAGCUACCCAAUUGCGCCAUUUCUGGGAGAACCCGCAGGCCCUUAACACAUCCAAGAGAUAUGCCCAAUUCAGGGUGUCGAAAGCUUUGGAGAUGUCGAGCUUGACAAAAAGAGCUGGAUUACCUUUUUUUAUGCAGAUUCAUGAUCACCCUUUGCAUGUAUAUAAAGUUGUCAUGAAUUGAUCGGUUCUGGAUGAAGGCGUUCUGAGCGUUGGAGAUAAUUUCGUUCAUUCUUGGAGCAAGCCUAUUUGCCAUGAUUUUUGUUAUAAUUUUCAUGAAGCUAUUGAUCAGGCUGAUUGGCCUAAACCUAUCAAUUCUGUCAGCAUUUUCCCCCUUCGGUAUGAGGAUGAUGUUUGCUUCGUUGACCAGAUGCAGACUUUUGGAUCUAUGUUGGAAAAAAUCAUUUAUUGCCAUGGAAAGGUCAUUUUUGAUCAACUCGAAGCAGCAUUUGUAGAACAGGCCAAUGAACCCAUCCAGCCCGGGGGCCUUUUCAUAUUGAAGCCCCAUCACAACGUCCUUGAUUUCACUGUCAUCAAUCAAGUUGUCCAGCUCAGAUAACUCAAAAGGAGCAUACCCCAGAUGGUCCCAAUGAACAGCACUACUCCUACCUGUCGUGCCUAGUACCUGGCCGAAGUGAUGUUGUACCUCGUUCAUUUUGUCUUCCUGACUCGUCAACAGUGUGCCAUCUCGAAUUAGCGAUCUGAUUAAAUUUUUCCUUCUUCUGUUAUUGGCCGCUAAGUGAAAGAACUUAGUGUUAGCAUCGCCCAACCGCAUCCAAGUAAGUCUGGAAUGUUGUCUUGCACAUGACCUCUGAGCGGAGGCAAUAUCCAGAAUCUUGAUUUUAAGAGUCCUCCUGAAUUCCAAUUCUUCGGAGGAGAGUUGUCUAAUCUCUUGUGCUUUCUCCAGAAGAGUGAGGAUGAUCUGAAUGAUAGCCAUCUGCACUUUGAAGUUGCCAACUGUAUUGCGUCUCCAGGCCAAUAGAGCCUUGGCCGAGCAAGUCAUCUUUACGUGAAGUCGAAGGAUGGCAUCAUCAGUGUUUACUGUAGAAUUCCAUGCUUGAUGGACUACCUCGUUGAACCCCUCAAUCUGUGGCCAGAAAGAUUCGAAUCUAAACCCCCGGUAGAAGUUAACCGAAGAGUGGCCUUGCAUUAAAAGCGGGCAGUGGUCCGAUGUCAUGGUGCACAUGGAGUGCAGGUCAGCCGAGGGAUACAGGUCAUGCCACUCUGUUGUCGCAAAGAAUCUGUCAAUCCUAGUCAUGGUAGGGUCAACUUGCUCAUUUGACCAGGUGAAUGCUCUAUCGGUGAGAUCUAGCUCUAAGAGAUGCAGAUCAUCAAUUAUGCUAUUGAACUGCCUCAUCACCCUUCUGUUGAUUGAUCCUUUGUUUUUCUCCCUUGCUCUCCUGAUCAUGUUGAAUUCACCUAAUAACACCCAUUCUGGUCUCACCAUGGUUUGGAUGUUACGGAGCUCAGAGAGGAAUAUCAUUUUUUCAUUGUCCAGUUGGGGUAAGUAGACACCCAUGAGGUCCCAAACCUCAUCCACCAAUCUAGAAUUGAUCCUGACUGACAGUGAAUAGGCUGAUGAACAUGGUAAGAGAACCAUGUCAAAAUAAUCCGAAUCAGCAGCGAUUAGGAUUCCGCCCGAGGCGCCCAGAGAAGGUAAGUGAAAAGUUUGGUUUGCAAGCUUGGCACCUACAGUUUCCUUUAAUAAUACAUUUGACCAGCUCGAGAUCUUUGUCUCUUGAAGGCAAACAAUGGAUGCGCCAGUGGACAAAAUUGUAUGCCUUACGCUUUCUCUCUUAGCGUGGUCGUUUAACCCCCAUACAUUCCAAGAAAAAUAGAGCAUUUCAGAUUCAUAAGGUAAUAAAAACCACUCUAGUUGAGACAGUACGAAGCCACCAAUCAUAUCUCAGCCAGGAACCCUGCUGCAGCGAACUAACAGGAAAUAAUGCUUUCAGACAAGGAUUCGCCGAGCCAAUAGAUUGCCCAGACCCAAACGACAAACUGAAAAAACAGAGAUACAAAGGCAUGCCAGGGACCCUAUAGCACUGCCCAGACGCACUAAAACCAGCAGAGAUUAAACAGCGAACAAAGGGAAGGCUGAGCCCGGAACCGCGCCGAUAGCGCCUAGCCAUCUGAGUAAACAUUGAUCUCCAAAAGAACCACCAACAGGCCUAGUCAAGGAGCUCAGAUCCCCUUUGCCUUCACGACUUUGAUGGCCGGCACCACCUUUCGACCCUUCUUUUUAGACUUCACUGCCUUCACAUUGUCUUGAUUUAUCAGCUCCAUGAUUGCCUCCAUUUGCUUCUUGGAGAGAGGCCUUGUGAAUAGACAUGUGAUCUGCUCAAAUGAAUCAUCAAAGUCAGUAAAGCCUGAAGAACUAGAGCGGUCUGAUUUUUUUACUGCAGAAUUGUUAAGUUUGGCGAGUAUGAUUUCCUGGGCUUUGGAUAUCGCAUCCUGGUUACUCCUAGUCUUAAUGCAUUUCUUCGCAGCCAGCCUAACACUUGAUCUUCUAGUGGUGGGUUGGUUCUGAAAUUUUAAUGGAUGUGAUGUGGUCGUGCUACUUUUCGGCGGGGAUGGAAUCAAUGGUGGCUCUGGUGGAUUUGUUAUUGCCGCGAUGAAGUCGAGCAACUGAGUAUUGUCGGCCGAGCUAUUCCCUGUCCUCAGAGCAGGAGAAGCUCUUAAGGUUUCAUGAUUAUCACUAUCAGCUGGUUGAAAAUCUGGUUGAUUGUCACUAUCGACUGGUUGAAAAACUGGGCCGGGUAAGUCAUGGAUAAAUGAGGCACCCAUUAGGCCGACCCGAUCAGCAGCAGGCAUGUUGUAAUCUAUAGCUUGAUUAUCAUUCACAAGUUGAGAGCCUAAAAACUCAAUCGGUUGGACAGCUAGGGCCUUGGCUAGAGUAGAAGUGUUUAGGUUCACGCUAGUGGAACACGCCAGCACACUGUCUAAACUGUUGUGAAUUGUGGCAAAAACAUUAGUGAGAUCAAUAGUAUUGGUUACCUUGCACUUGGAGGUAGCAGGGUCGUGCGAGGUUUCCUGGUUGUCACCGCCAAUAGAGCUUGACUUGCUUCCAACACCAUCAGUUAGCCCCAGACUGUCCUCCUGCGGUCAAACAACAGAAACAAUGGUGUCUGCAAAUGAAACAAUUUUGACCUUCGCCUUGGGCACCCAGCGAGAUGACGGUGUCAUCCCCAGACCAUGACGACGAAAAGGAGUUGAAUGCCUAUGCUUGUCGUUGGAGCUAUAUCAGUCAUCCAUCCCCCCCGCAUCACGACGAACGCGCCCAACCGGAAAGGCUACGAUGUCUACGGUUGCCGCUGUGUCUGUCACGCUGAAAGUCCCCUUCAUCAUCAUCGUGGCCCCAGUCACGGCGCACAGUCUCUCUACCUCUGAAAGCUUCUGCACGUUCUAUUUUUUCGCCCACUGAGUCCGGGGCGCCAUAGUUCCAAACAAACUCUCUGUGCUGCUUGCGAUUAGGAGGCCCCCUGGAUCCCCUCCCAUGGAGGAACGAGAGGUCUUCCACAACCUCGAUGUGAUUGCGAAGGGUGUAAACAUGGCCAGCUUUCAGAUCAGAAGGUUCAUCAUGAUGAGCACCAACAAGUGGUAAGGGGGUGUUGAUUGGUGGAAGCUCCCUGUCUAGUUCUAAUAGCGUUAGCUGGACCUCUUUGGGGAUGUCACAAGGGUCAGAGCACCAUGCCCAGAGAUCGAAAGACCUAGUGCGCUCUCUAUGCCUUGUGCGCUCUUGCACAUAGUGGAUUGCACAGCUCUUGCCCAAGGCCUUCGAAGCCACUUCUUCCCCCCAACAGUGAACCAGAAUCCAUUCAACCCGGACUUUAACUCUAAAUUCAAGGUUUGUUUUCCUAGCAUAGUUGUCCUCUGACCAAUCACCAAAAUGGAAAAUCCGGCCACGAUACGAGACCGAUCUCCUAUCUAGCGCCCAUAGCUUCGACCUUGGAUCCGGGAAGAUGAUAAAGAAUUGCUCAGGAAAGUGCUUGACUAGUUGAUACUGACCGUAGUGAAGGUUGAACUUCUCCCUCAGCAUGUCUCCUGCAGAUAAUGUGUCAACCUCAUGACUGUUGCCGUCGAAGGAGCAAACUACAGCCUUGUCAAUCAGGUCGUCUCUGCGGCGACGGAUGGAGCCGGUCGCCGAGACCGAACAGAAGGCACGCGAUGUCCUUCCCCGAGGAUCUCUAGGGUAGCGAGCCUCCAUUCAUUGGCCUUCCUGAACAGCCUGGAGGAAGGAUUUCUUGUGUAUGAGGGGCAGUUGACUGAGCGGAGCCUUCCGGGGUUGCUCCUGGUACUUAUGGAGGUCGUCGGGCCAUAGCAGCAGCUCAUGGUAGGUAGAGCUCUUUGAUGGAUGCUCGGAUGGUUUAGGAUUAUAGCGAGCAACAUUGAAUGUCCCCUGGGAGCUUUUCUGGUUGCAGGACCUCGCCCGGUGUCCAAAUUGUAGGCAAUGCCAGCAGCGCGUAGGAGCCGAGCAGCAAAAAGCGAGAUGUUCUGGUGAGAGACAGUUGUAGCAUUUACCCUUGAGAUUCAAUUUGAAAAGACUGGUGCCCUUCAUGUCAAAUUGAUGUUUUUGCGGAGCUCUCUCAGGAGCCAUCAAGUUCUUGCGCCACCAGUACCGCGGCCUGACCACAGACCAACCCCCUUCGUUGACAUCCGGAGCAGCAAGAUAUGGCUGUCCAUUCAUACGCGACGCAACAUUGAGACCUUCAGCACGUCGAUGGGACAAAACGCUGCCUGAAUUCAAAGCCCGAUCCGCCUUGCAGGAAUGCUGGAAGCCCGACGAGCAGUCUGCUUCCCACUUGGCUUUUUUAGUCGCCAGGAUACUCGACAUUGAAGUCUGACGUUGUGGAUCUCCAUGUACCGCCUGCACUGGGCGUGAUUCUGCUGUGGUUCUUGAGAUUAGAUCCAAAUUGGUUGUUGAAUAAGAGCCAUCGCCGGUCGCGAUGGUGAAAGUCGCCUAGAGGGGGGUGAAUAGGGCGAAUCUGAAAUUUACAAACUUAAUCACAACUACAAGCUGAGUUAGCGUUAGAAAUAUAAACGAGUCCGAGAGAGAGGGCGCAAAACAAAUCACAAGCGAAUAAGGAGUGUGACACAUGGAUUUGUUUUACCGAGGUUCGGUUCACGCAAACCUACUCCCCGUUGGGGUGGUCACAAAGAUCGGGUCUCUUUCAACCCUUUCCCUCUCUCAAACGGUCCCUCGGACCGAGUGAGCUUCUCUUCUCAAUCAAACGGGAACCAAACUUCCCCGCAAGGACCACCACACAAUUGGUGUCUCUUGCCUUGGUUACAAUUGAGUUGAUCGCAAGAAAGAAUGAGAGAAAGAAGCAAUCAAAGUGCAAGAGCUCAAAUGAACACAACAAAUCUCUCUCACUAAUCACUAAAGCUUUGUGUGGAGUUGGGAGAGGAUUUGAUCUCUUUUGUGUGUCUUGUAUUGAAUGCUAGCUCUUGUAAGUAGUUGGAAGGUGGAAAACUUGGAUGCCUUGAAUGUGGGGGUGGUUGGGGUAUUUAUAGCCCCAACCACCAAACUUGACCGUUGGUGGAGGCUGCUGUCGAUGGGAGCACCGGACAGUCCGGUACGCCAGCCACGUCACCAGGCCGUUGGGUUCCGACCGUUGGAGCUCUGUCUUGUGGGCCCGCCUGGCUAUCCGGUGGUGCACCGGACAGGCCCUGUAGGCUGUCCGGUGUGCCACCCGCGCGUGCUCUGCUCCUCUGCGCGCGCAGGCACGCAUUUAAUACGUUGCAGUCGACCGUUGCGCGCGAAGUAGUCGUUGCUCCGCUGUCACACCGGACAGUCCGGUGUGCGCCGGACACUGUCCGGUGACUCACCAGACAGUCUGGUGAAUUAUAGCGGAGCAGAUUCCCGAAGCUGGCGAGUUCAGAGUUGCUCUCCCUUGGAGCACCGGACACUGUCCGGUGGUGCACCGGACAGUCCGGUGCGCCAGACCAGGGCACACUUCGGUUAUCCCUUGCUCUCUUUGUUGAACCCUUUUCUUGGUCUUUUUAUUGGCCUUUUGUGAACCUUUGGCACCUGUAGAACUUAUAGACUAGAGCAAACUAGUUAGUCCAAUUAUUUGUGUUGGGCAUAUCAACCACCAAAAUCAAUUAGGAAAUAGGUGUAAGCCUAAUUCCCUUUCAAUCUCCCCCUUUUUGGUGAUUGAUGCCAACACAAACCAAAGCAAAUAUAGAAGUGCAUAAUUGAACUAGUUUGCAUAAUUGUAAGUGCAAAGGUUACUUAGAAUUGAGCCAAUAUAAAUUUUCAUAAGAUACACAUGGAUUGUUUCUUUAUUUUUAACAUUUUGGACCACGCUUGCACCACAUGUUUUGUUUUUGCAAAUCCUUUUGUAAAUUCUUUUCAAAGUUCUUUUGCAAAUAGUCAAAGGUAAAUGAAUAAGAAUUUUGAGAAGCAUUUUCAAGAUUUGAAAUUUUCUCCCCCUGUUUCAAUUGCUUUUCCUUUGACUAAACAAAACUCCCCCUCAAUAAAUUCUCCUCUUAGUGUUCAAGAGGGUUUUAAGAUACCGAUUUUGAAGGUGCUACUUUCUCCCCCUUUUGAACAUAAUGAAAUACCAAUUUGAAAAUCAUGAGUUUUAAAAUUAGGUGGUGGUGCGGUCCUUUUGCUUUGGGCUAAUACUUUCUCCCCCUUUGGCAUGAAUCGCCAAAAACGGAUACUUUGAUUGAAAUAUAAGCCCUUUUAAACUACUUUCUUCCCUUUGGCAAACAAAAUAUGAGUGAAGAUUAUACCAAAGACGGAGAGAUGCUCGGAGCGACGGCGAAGGAUGAGUUAUGGAGUGGAGUGGAAGCCUUUGUCUUCGCCGAAGACUCCAAUUCCCUUUCAAUAUACCUAUGACUUGGUUUGAAAUUCACUUGAAAACACAUUAGUCAUAGCACAUGAAAGAGACAUGAUCAAAAGUAUAUUCAUGAGCUAUGUGUACAACACAUCAAAAGAAAUUCCUAGAAUCAAGAAUAUUUAGCUCAUGCCUAAGUUUGUUAAAAGUUUGUUCAUCAAGUGGCUUGGUAAAGAUAUCGGCUAAUUGAUCUUUAGUGUUAAUGUAUGCAAUCUCGAUAUCUCCCUUUUGUUGGUGAUCCCUUAAGAAGUGAUACCGAAUGGCUAUGUGUUUAGUGCGGCUAUGCUCAACGGGAUUAUCCGCCAUGCGGAUUGCACUCUCAUUAUCACAUAGAAGAGGAACUUUGGUUAAUUUGUAACCAUAGUCCCUAAGGGUUUGCCUCAUCCAAAGCAAUUGCGCGCAACAAUGGCCUGCGGCAAUGUACUCGGCUUCGGUGGUAGAAAGAGCUACAGAAUUUUACUUCUUUGAAGCCCAAGACACCAAGGAUCUUCCCAAGAACUGGCAAGUCCCGGAUGUGCUCUUUCUAUUAAUCUUACACCCUGCCCAAUCGGCAUCCGAAUAACCAAUUAAAUCAAAGGUGGAUCCCCUAGGAUACCAAAGCCCAAACUUAGGAGUAUAAACUAAAUAUCUCAAGAUUUGUUUUACGACCGUAAGGUGAGCUUCCUUAGGGUCGGCUUGGAAUCUUGCACACAUGCAUACGAAAAGCAUAAUAUCCGGCCGAGAUGCACAUAAGUAAAGUAAAGAGCCUAUCAUCGACCGGUAUACCUUUUGAUCGACGAAUUUACCUCCCGUGUCGAGGUCGAGAUGCCCAUUGGUUCCCAUGGGUGUUUUGAUGGGCUUGGCAUCCUUCAUCCCAAACUUGUUUAGAAUGUCUUGAAUAUACUUCGUUUGGCUAAUGAAGGUGCCCUCUUGGAGUUGCUUCACUUGAAAUCCUAAGAAGUAUUUCAACUCCCCCAUCAUCGACAUCUCGAAUUUCUGUGUCAUGAUCCUACUAAAUUCUUCACAUGUAGAUUCGUUAGUAGACCCAAAUAUAAUAUCAUCAACAUAAAUUUGGCAUACAAACAAAUCAUUGUCAAGAGUUUUAGUAAAUAAAGUAGGAUCGGCCUUUUCGACUUUGAAUCCAUUAGUGAUAAGAAAAUCUCUUAGGCAUUCAUACCAUGCUCUUGGGGCUUGCUUGAGUCCAUAAAGCGCCUUAGAGAGUUUAUACACAUGGUUAGGAUACUCACUAUCUUCAAAGCCGGGAGGUUGCUCAACAUAGACCUCUUCCUUGAUUGGUCCAUUGAGGAAGGCACUUUUCACGUCCAUUUGAUAAAGCUUAAAGCCAUGGUAAGUAGCAUAGGCAAGUAAUAUACGAAUUGACUCAAGCCUAGCUACGGGUGCAUAGGUUUCACCGAAAUCCAAACCUUUGACUUGUGAGUAUCCCUUGGUCACAAGUCAGGCUUUGUUCCUUGUCACCACACCAUGCUCAUCUUGCUUGUUGCGGAACACCCACUUGGUUCCUACAACAUUUUGAUUAGGACGUGGAACAAAAUGUCAUACCUCAUUCCUAGUGAAGUUGUUGAGCUCCUCUUGCAUCGCCACCACCCAAUCCGAAUCUUGUGGUGCUUCCUCUAUGUCACACCCGGUUUUAGAAGGCAAACCGAAUGAGAACCAUGUACGUGCCAGGAUCAGUUAUUCACGUACACAGCAGUUACAUAAUAUGGACAUCAUCACACAGUGCUCAAAAUAGUAUUAAUAAGGGAAAUAGUCGAUUACAUCAUACGUCUGAGACGUCCAUAUAGUUCUUACAAUAAAUCAAAGUGCGGAAAAGAAACAUAGAUAACCGCGGCCUUCACAGGCAGCCGACUGGGGGGUUGCCGCUAACCCACACCUAGAACUCGUCGUAGUCUUGGAACUCCUGGAAGUCUCCUUCCACAGCUUCAUCUUCGCCUGAGCAGUGGUUGCAAUGCUGACAACCUGGGGAUGGGGGGGGUUUGGUGUGUAGAGCAAGGGUGAGUACACAUCAACAUACUCAGCAAGUAUCCUGUUUGGCUGUAGUGGACUAGCUGUAUGUGGGGGAUAAGUCAAGCAGUUGCUUUUAGUUGGUCAGAUUAUUACUUACUAGUAGAAAGCCAAGUUUUAGCAUUAACCCAAGUUAUUAACCCAAACAUACUCCUUUCCAAACGGAAAGAGUACCACUUACCAGCAUCAUAGUCAUAACCGGAACCAUCGAUCUCAUAACCACCUGUACCAA
rnacentral:lncRNA from 1 species